GUAGAGCACUGUUUCGGCUAGGGGGUCAUCCCGACUUACCAACCCGAUGCAAACUACGAAUACCGAAGAAUGUUAUCACGGGAGACACACGGCGGGUGCUAACGUCCGUCGUGAAGAGGGAAACAACCCAGACCGCCAGCUAAGGUCCCAAAGUCAUGGUUAAGUGGGAAACGAUGUGGGAAGGCACAGACAGCCAGGAUGUUGGCUUAGAAGCAGCCAUCAUUUAAAGAAAGCGUAAUAGCUC
rnacentral:rRNA from 1 species